rnacentral:rRNA from 1 species
AGCAGCCGCGGUAAUUCCAGCUCCAAUAGCGUAUAUUAAAGUUGUUGCAGUUAAAAAGCUCGUAGUUGAACUUCAGGCCUGGCUGGGCGGUCCGCCUUCCGGGUGAGUACUGCCUGUGGUCGGGUCCUACCUUCUGGCGAAGCGUCAUGGCCUUAACCGGCCGUGGCGGGGAAGCAGGACUUUUACUGUGAAAAAAUUAGAGUGUUCAAAGCAGGCACGCGCUUGAAUACAUUAGCAUGGAAUAAUGGAAUAGGACAGUGGUUCUAUUUGUUGGUUUCUAGGACCGUUGUAAUGAUUAAUAGGGAUAGUUGGGGGCAUUAGUAUUCAAUUGUCAGAGGUGAAAUUCUUGGAUUUAUUGAAGACUAACUACUGCGAAAGCAUUUGCCAAGGAUGUUUUCAUUAAUCAAGAACGAAAGUUAGGGGAUCGAAGACGAUCAGAUACCGUCGUAGUCUUAACCAUAAACUAUGCCGACUAGGAAUCGGGCGAUGUUGACAAAAUGACGCGCUCGGCACCUC